GGGGCCAUAGUUUAAUUGGUAAAAUAAGCACCUUGCACGUGCCAGCUUCAGGUUCAAUUCCUGAUGGCUCCA
rnacentral:tRNA from 1 species